ensembl:lncRNA novel transcript
AGUAGAGAGGAGGUUUCACCGUGUUAGCCAGGAUGGUCUCAAUCUCCUGACCUCGUGAUCCGCCCGCCUCGGCCUCUCAAAGUGCUGGGAUUACACGCGUGAGCCACCGCGCCUGGCCUGAAGAAAGUUAAAAGAAAAGCUUUUUGAAUGAAUCACUUCUCAUCUUCUCCGAAGUUGGAAGCAUCAAGAAUCUAAAUAAGCAUUUAUGAUGGCUGGCAUGAAUAUGUAACUUUCAAUCAUGGUCCCAAUUUAGUCAAUUCUGCUACAGCACAUGCCCAGGAAAGAUGAUGGAUCUUCAUUAAUUUAAAUGAAUCAUAGACAGGUGAAGACAGAACAAGAAAACAAACCAAGAAUUUCCCCUCACCAGCCACCAGCUCUGCCAGCAACUUGAUCUUAGACUUCCCAGCCUCCGUAACGUCUUCCUCCUAAAAACCUGUAACCUCAAUCUAAUCAUGAGAAAAGACAUCAGGCAAAUCCCAACUGAGGGAGAUUUUACAUAGUACCUGAGCAGUACUCCUCAAAACUGUCAAGGUCAUCAAAAACAAAGAAGUAUGAAAAACUGUCACAGCCAAGAGGAACUUAAGGAAACAUAAUAAUUAAAGCCUCUGCUUAUAAUCUGUCAUGGAUUGGAAAACUAGAAAAAACAGUUUACAGAGUAUAACAAACUUUGGAGGAGUUAAUCGACUCUAAGUAAAAGAGUAUCUAGCACGGCUGUGGAACAAAGGAGAGACUCACAAACUGUUGAAAGAAUAAAUGAAUGAAUGAAUUCUGUUCAUGAGCUUUAAUAAAACAGCUCUGAGUAGUAACAGUGGAUCAAAUUUAGGCUUCUUGAUGCAGGCAUGGUGUAGAUUACUACUUCUGUAUUGUCCCAGGAGCUCAGCACAUUCCUGCAGAGAUGAUAGGAGCUCAUCUGAUACUUGUCAGCUUUGAAUAAACUCCAGUCCCCAAGAGAGAGAAUGAGAAUCACCGGAAUACGAAACUUCCCUGUUGGACUUCCCAACAUUCUUGAAUGCACCAAGAUAGCCUCUUGCUGUGAGAUUAAUAAAUGAAUAAAUGCCUC